AAACUUACCUUUUUCCAGCACUGGGCGGAGAGCUCUCCUCCUUCUCUCCGCCCCGUCGGCUGAAUGCGCACGCGCGGCAAAAGCUGCGCGCGCAUUCAGCCGGUCACAUAGGAAAGCAUUCAUAAUGCUUUCCUAUGGACGCUUGCGUGCUCUCACUGUGAAAAUCACAGUGAGAAGCACGCAAGCGCCUCUAGUGGCUGUCAAUGAGACAGCCACUAGAGGAUUAGGGGGAAGGCUUAACCCAUUAAUAAACAUAGCAGUUUCUCUGAAACUGCUAU